UACGAAGGGGGCUAGCGUUGCUCGGAAUCACUGGGCGUAAAGCGCACGUAGGCGGCUCUUUAAGUCAGGGGUGAAAUCCCGGAGCUCAACUCCGGAACUGCCCUUGAUACUGAGGAGCUCGAGUCCGGGAGAGGUGAGUGGAACUGCGAGUGUAGAGGUGAAAUUCGUAGAUAUUCGCAAGAACACCAGUGGCGAAGGCGGCUCACUGGCCCGGUACUGACGCUGAGGUGCGAAAGCGUGGGGAGCAAACAGG
rnacentral:rRNA from 1 species